UUACUGAGUUUACGCUCUAUAACCCUUUGUGAACAUACCUAUAACUGUUGCUUCGGCGGGUAGGGUCUCCGCGACCCUCCCGGCCUCCCGCCUCCGGGCGGGUCGGCGCCCGCCGGAGGAUAACCAAACUCUGAUUUAACGACGUUUCUUCUGAGUGGUACAAGCAAAUAAUCAAAACUUUUAACAACGGAUCUCUUGGUUCUGGCAUCGAUGAAGAACGCAGCGAAAUGCGAUAAGUAAUGUGAAUUGCAGAAUUCAGUGAAUCAUCGAAUCUUUGAACGCACAUUGCGCCCGCCAGCAUUCUGGCGGGCAUGCCUGUUCGAGCGUCAUUUCAACCCUCAAGCUCUGCUUGGUGUUGGGGCCCUACAGCUGAUGUAGGCCCUCAAAGGUAGUGGCGGACCCUCCCGGAGCCUCCUUUGCGUAGUAACUUUACGUCUCGCACUGGGAUCCGGAGGGACUCUUGCCGUAAAACCCCCCAAUUUUCCAAAGGUUGACCUCGGAUCAGGUAGGAAUACCCGCUGAACUUAAGCAUAUCAAUAAGCGGAGGAAAAGAAACCAACAGGGAUUGCCUCAGUAACGGCGAGUGAAGCGGCAACAGCUCAAAUUUGAAAUCUGGCCCUAGGCCCGAGUUGUAAUUUGCAGAGGAUGCUUUUGGUGCGGUGCCUUCCAAGUUCCCUAGAACGGGACGCCAGAGAGGGUGAGAGCCCCGUACAGUUGGACACCAAGCCUUUGUAAAGCUCCUUCGACGAGUCGAGUAGUUUGGGAAUGCUGCUCAAAAUGGGAGGUAUAUUUCUUCUAAAGCUAAAUACCGGCCAGAGACCGAUAGCGCACAAGUAGAGUGAUCGAAAGAUGAAAAGCACUUUGAAAAGAGGGUUAAACAGCACGUGAAAUUGUUAAAAGGGAAGCGCUUGUGACCAGACUUGCGUCCGGUGAAUCACCCAGCUCUCGCGGCUGGGGCACUUCGCCGGCUCAGGCCAGCAUCAGCUCGCUGUCGGGGACAAAAGCUUCAGGAACGUAGCUCUCUUCGGGGAGUGUUAUAGCCUGUUGCACAAUACCCUUCGGCGGGCUGAGGUACGC
rnacentral:ncRNA from 2 species